rnacentral:rRNA from 1 species
AGCUCCAAUAGCGUAUAUUAUUGAUGUUGCAGUUAAAAAGUUCGUAGUUCGUUUUGGUCUGUUUAUAAAAGUCUGACCGUCUUACGGUCUGGAUUUCUUUUAAACAGAGAUUUGCAAUGACGUGGCUUAUCAUGCUUAACGCGUGUUUGUUGUGUUUUUGCAUAUUACUUUGAGUUAAUCGGCGUGUUCCACGCAGGCUUUAGCCUUGAACGAUUUACCAUAGAAUAACCAGAUUAUGAUUUUGUGUCUUUGUUUGUUCGGACACAUAAUCUACACAGAUAAGAACGGUUGAGGGCAUUCGUAUUCAACUGCUAGAGGUGAAAUUCUUUGAUUAGUUGAGGACGAACAAUUGCGAAAGCAUCUGCCAGGGACGUUUCUGUUGAUCAAGAACGAAAGUACG